rnacentral:lncRNA from 1 species
UAUUAAAAAGUACUCAUUUCAGGCACAACACAGACUAAUUAAUUUAGAGUCUCUGGGAUGGUACCUUGACACUGGUAUGUUUUAACGUCUGCCCCCUGCCUUGCCCCAAGUGACUCUAAAAUGUGCAGGUGGAGAUAAGUCCACUACUCUAAGGCAGUGGCAGUUGGAAAGGAGAAGAAGAGGAUUUGGACCUGAAUUACGUUCCAGGGGUGGGAUCCCUAAAAAGGAUAUAAAUCUUAGGACAUGAAUUUGGCUUUAGUGGGUUUCCUUCCAUUCUAUAUAGCUCUCAAGGUCAAGUGCAUUGCUGAGGAAUGGACAAUAGCCUCUGCUGAUCCCUCUGAUCUAAGCUGCUGCUGGCACGGCAGCAUUGGAGGCUACAUCCAUUCUCAGCACAUUUGGAGUGCAAUGAUGCUGCAGGAACAAAUCGCCCACCUUCCAAAUGCCCUGUGAGUGAGUCAGUGCUCAGCAGCAUUGGCAAGGCGGAGCGCUGUAACGGCAAAGAAAGGAUGACAUCUCAUAUACAUGUGUGAACAGGACUGUUUACUCAUAGGAUGAUUAUUUUAAAGGAGACGUUUGGUUUUUUAAGGUCCGUAGAAGUUUGUUUCAUCGCUAAUCGCAGCGGGUGUAGGUGUUAGCUAACAUACCGGUAACUGAAUGUUCUUAGCAAUACUGCAAUAGCUUCCCUUAAGGUUUAAAAAUUACAAUUUGAUUUUAAUUGCCACCUCUCUUAAUAGGUGUUACUCAAACAGGAAGGAAAAUGCCACAUACUCUUACCAGUUCUUGAUGCCAGAGAUUACUAAAGCAAUUUGGAAAGAUAUCGAAAAGGUGUUGAGAAAAUACAGGUGAAUUUUAAUACAUGAUGUGUAUUGACAUUUUUACUCUAGGUAGCAACAGAGAGACUUCUGUAUUGCUGGGGAGGAAUUAUAUGAGAUUUUGGCUACGGAGACAGGAUUUCUCACUUCUUAUUGGCUGAAAAAAAAAUAAAUGAAGCCAUUAGAAGCAGUAUUGAAAUAUUAAUCAUACCUUCCAAAAUUAAACACUCUUUUAAAAAUAAAAGUUACACAAUCUGUCUUUCACUUCAUCUUUGACUUUCAUCCCAACACUGGUGGGAGGAAAUAAGCUCUGGUUAAAAUCAAGACUGAAAGUGACUUUGACUUUGCAGAGAACAGUGUCAAGGCGAAGAACUUGACUGUAUCUUCUCUCCCACUUGGGGUCAGUGUUUAGGCACAUGAGAGAAGAUGAGGAACCAGGACAGGAAAUGGCAGCGUUUCCACCAAAGGUCAAGGGGAACAUUAAUGGGCUACAUUCCAGACCCAAGGCUGACGAUCUUCUUCAAAGGAGUCAGUGGUGGAAACACAGACUCAGAGCCACUCCCAAAAGGUACGAUGAGGUCAGGAUCAUUGAAGAGAGGCAGUGCACAGGGGGCGUUCGGGUGAGCAUCUCUAAAGUUACCUUUCUGGUUGGUCUUUGACAUCAAAGUGCGUAAGUCUGCCUUUCAUGGGCAGGUAGAAAUGCUGUGCAGGUGAAAACAGGCCUCUGGCAAGAUAAGAACAGAAAUCUUUGAGCUUCAAAUUACAGAUCUUUAUGUUUCACUGAAACUUGUCUUUACAGGGGUGUCAGUCUCCACUGUGACUGACCACAAAACCCUGCAGGAAAGAGGCUGUGGGUUUUCCUGCGUGGUCCCCAGACCCUAAUAUGCCCAUGUGGCUGCCUAAUACACAUCUCUAUUUAAAAUGUUCAGAAUCUGUGUACUUGGAGGACUAAGCAGGAAAGAAAUAGAUUGAACGGGCCAACCAGGUAUUUUAGGAUUUGGGCUGUCAACUUUAUAGUCUAACAGCAAUGGAAAUGUCUAAGAUGGAAACAAUC